GCAUUGAAGUGGAGCAUCUCUUUUUACAAACUGGCGUGGACUCUGAGGUCUACUGGGGAGACCCUCCUCUUGGUCCCACUGCCUUCACAAGUACGGUUGGUGGGGAUAAGGGAGAGGGCCUUCUCAGUGGUGGCCCCCCAGCUCUGGAACGCUCUCCCAAGGGAAAUUAGGCUGGCCCCACCCUCCAAUGUUUUUGGUCCAACCUAAAAAUGUGGCUAUUUAACCAAGCUUUCCAAUAGUUAUAGAGCUCAAAAGGUUCUAAUUGUAGACCCAUUGGUUUUCUCACUAUUUGGCUGUUAUUUAUUUUAUGUCUAUAAGUACCAUAACAUUUUACUGUAUUUUAGGAUCAGUAUUUUACUGUGGUAUGAAGUCAUGAUGUGAAUUAUGUUUCUCUUUGAUAUUUAUGCAUCUGUAUUUAUUGCACCAUAUGUAUUGUUACAUUACAAGUGCUUUGUAAAUCGUUCUGAGUCCCUUUUUGGAGAUGCUAGCAGGGUAGACAUAAAGUUUUAUUAUUAUUUAUUAUUAUGCUGUCGAUUCUUCCCCCAGCUGAUGAGUUUGAUAGUCCAACCACUACACCAUUCCAACUUAAAGGUUUAAUAGGGUUGUAAUUAUACCCAGUGCAUUGCCAAAGUAUAUUUGGUAUAAACAUACUUGCAGUUUUGCCCCCAAAAUUUGUAAUGUGUGUCUGGAUGAUGAGAAAAAGAGCAGAAACCAUUUUCUAUCUUUGUUUGAAAAUGAAACAUAGGCAGGUCUCCUAUGAUUAUCAUGUCAUUGUCAUUGUUGAAGUAGAGAGUCGAGGCAUUUGUUGCAUUUUAGCUAUUCAAGCUAAUAAUAGCCUCAGUUCUGAGUUCCAGAGAAAGAAUGUGUUGUGCCUAGAAAGCAUGGAUCUCUUGCAAUAAAACCAGCAAACAAUUUUUUUUUUUAAAAAAAAUCCCAAUGAUCUUCUCCCCAUGGUGUUAAUUUUCGAAUCAUGAAAUAAAUGUCUUGUUAUCUGGGGCAUAUACACAGUAAUUUGGCUUUUACAAAAGCUCUUGUUAGCUACAGGCUGAUCACACAGCACUAAAUCCUUCAAAUGUUCAGCGGUGUCCUGUGGCUUACAGAUGCGAUUCCAAUAAUAGUAAGUGAGCUCAUCCCUGGUGUGGAA
rnacentral:lncRNA from 1 species